rnacentral:rRNA from 1 species
UGAACGCUAGCGGCAGGCUUAACACAUGCAAGUCGAGGGGCAGCAUGAUGAAACUUUCGGGUUUCAUUGAUGGCGACCGGCGCAAGGGUGCGUAACGCGUGAGCAACUUGCCCUUAUCAGGGGGAUAACCGGUGAAACGCCGACUAAUACCCCAUAGCAUCACUUUAAGGCAUCUUUUAGUGAUUAAAGAAUUUCGGAUAAGGAUAGGCUCGCGUGACAUUAGCUAGAUGGCGGGGUAACGGCCCACCAUGGCGACGAUGUCUAGGGGUUCUGAGAGGAAGGUCCCCCACACUGGAACUGAGACACGGUCCAGACUCCUACGGGAGGCAGCAGUGAGGAAUAUUGGUCAAUGGCCGAGAGGCUGAACCAGCCAUGCCGCGUGAAGGUCACGGCCCUAUGGGUCUUAAACUUCUUUUGUAAGGGAGCAAUAAGGUUCACGUGUGGACUGAUGAGAGUACCUUACGAAUAAGCAUCGGCUAACUCCGUG